rnacentral:misc_RNA from 1 species
GAAAUGCGAUAAGUAGUGUGAAUUGCAGAAUUUAGCGAAUCAUCGAAUCUUUGAACGCACAUUGUGCCCCUUGGUAUUCCAUGGGGCAUGCCUGUUCGAGCGUCAUUUCAACCCUCAAGCACUGCUUGGUGUUGGGCGUUUGUCCCGCCUACGCGCGUGGACUCGCCUCAAAGUCAUUGGCAGCUGUUCCCCUUCGGCUCGUAAGCGCAGCACAGUCGGCGCCCGGAGCUCUGGUGGGAUGGCGUCCAGCAAGCUAUAUUUUCAGGCUUGACCUCGGAUCAGGUAGGGAUACCCGCUGAACUUAAGC